UGGUAUAGAGUCGCCGCACUUUGUCGAAA
rnacentral:piRNA from 1 species